CGUAGGUGGCAAGCGUUGUCCGGAUUUAUUGGGUUUAAAGGGUGCGUAGGUGGUCAAUUAAGUCAGUGCUGAAAUAUCCCGGCUUAACCGGGAGGGUGGCAUUGAUACUGAAUGACUUGAGUGGAGUUGAGGUAGGCGGAAUUGACGGUGUAGCGGUGAAAUGCUUAGAUAUCGUCAAGAACACCAAUAGCGAAGGCAGCUUACUAAGCUCUAACUGACACUGAUGCACGAAAGUGUGGGGAUCAAACAGGAUUAGAUACCCUGGUAGUCCACACUGUAAACGUUGAUUACUCGAUGUUGGCGAUACACAGUCAGCGUCUUAGCGCAAGCGAUAAGUAAUCCACCUGGGGAGUACGCCGGCAACGGUG
rnacentral:rRNA from 1 species